ACUGGGCUGACUCAGUCAGUAGAGCACAUGACUCUUGAUCAUGAGGUCAUGAGUUCAAACCUCAUGUUGGGCA
rnacentral:tRNA from 1 species